GUCCUCGUAGCUCAGAUGGAUAGAGCGACCGCCUCCUAAGCGGUAGGUCCCCGGUUCGAAUCCGGGCGAGGACA
rnacentral:tRNA from 1 species